rnacentral:ncRNA from 1 species
UAAAUAAAUUUUUAUAGUUUAUAAAUUUUAUUAUAAAUUUAUUUUACAUAUAAAUUUUAGUAUAUAAUUUUAAUUAUUUUAAUAAUAAUUAAUUUUUUUUAUAGUAAUUAAUAUUAAAAAUUUAAGAAAUUAAGAUUUAGUAAUAUUUAAAUUAAUAACAAAUUUUGUGCCAGCAGUUGCGGUUAUACAAAAAUUAAAUUAAAUUUUAUUAGUAAUUAAUAAAUAAAUUAAAAAUUUUAAAUAAAUAUUUUAUUAUUAAGUGAAAUUUUAAUUAAAUAAAAAUUAAAUUUUAUUUUAUGAUUUAAUAAAUUUUAAUUUUAAACUAGGAUUAGAUACCCUAUUAUUAAAAAUUUAAAUUAAUUAUACUAAAAUAGUAAGUAAUUAUUUAUUGAAACUUAAAUAAUUUGGCGGUAUUUUAGUUUAUUUAGAGGAAUCUGUUUAAUAAUUGAUAAUCCACGAAUAAAUUUACUUAAUUUAUAAUUUUGUAUAUCGUUGUUAAAAAAAUAUUUUUAAAUAAUAAAUAAUAUUUUAAAUUUAAGAAAAUAAGUUAAAUCAGAUCAAGAUGCAGAUUAUAAUUAAGAAUAUAAUGGAUUACAUUAAAUUUAUUUAAAUGAAUAUUAAUUUGUAAUAAUUAAUUGAAAUUGGAUUUAAAUGUAAUUUUAUUUAAUUUAAUAAAAUGAUUAUAAAUUAAAAUAUGUACAUAUUGCCCGUCGCUUUCAUAAACAAAUUGAAAUAAGUCGUAACAAAGUAGAGGUACUGGAAAGUGUUUCUAGAAAAA